UUUCCGUAGGUGAACCUGCGGAAGGAUCAUUAUCGUACAAAAUGUGAGGGGCAUGCGAGGGCUGUCGCUGACCCAAGAGUCGUGCACGCCCGAGUGUGUCCUCUUGCAUAAUAAUCCAUCUCACCCUUUGUGCAUCACCGCGUGGGCACCCUUCGGGAUCAUCUCGGAGGGGGGCGCGCGUUUUCACACAAACCCCCCUUUUAAAAGUGUAGAAUGACCACAUUUAUGCAAUCAAUACAACUUUCAACAACGGAUCUCUUGGCUCUC
rnacentral:misc_RNA from 1 species